CCUACGGGAGGCAGCAGUGGGGAAUAUUGCACAAUGGGGGAAACCCUGAUGCAGCGACGCCGCGUGAGUGAAGAAGUCUUUCGGUAUGUAAAGCUCUAUCAGCCGGAACGAGACAAGACGGUACCUGACUAAGAAGCCCCGGCUAACUACGUGCCAGCAGCCGCGGUACUACGUAGGGGGCAACCGUUAUCCGGAAUCACUGGGGGUAAAGGGAGCGUAGACGGCUGAGCAAGCCCGAAGUGAAAGGCGGGGGCCCAACCCCCGGAGUGCUUUGGGAACUGUACGGCUGGAGUGCAGGAGAGGUAAGUGGAAGUCCUAGUGUAGCGGGGAAAUGCGUAGAUAUUAGGAGGAACACCAGUGGCGAAGGCGGCUUACUGGACUGUAACUGACGUUGAGGCUCGAAAGCGUGGGGAGCAAACAGGAUUAGAUACCCGAGUAGUC
rnacentral:rRNA from 1 species